rnacentral:rRNA from 1 species
GGAAGGGUGAGUAUGCCUAGGAAUCUGCCUGGUAGUGGGGGAUAACGUUCGGAAACGGACGCUAAUACCGCAUACGUCCUACGGGAGAAAGCAGGGGACCUUCGGGCCUUGCGCUAUCAGAUGAGCCUAGGUCGGAUUAGCUAGUUGGUGGGGUAAUGGCUCACCAAGGCGACGAUCCGUAACUGGUCUGAGAGGAUGAUCAGUCACACUGGAACUGAGACACGGUCCAGACUCCUACGGGAGGCAGCAGUGGGGAAUAUUGGACAAUGGGCGAAAGCCUGAUCCAGCCAUGCCGCGUGUGUGAAGAAGGUCUUCGGAUUGUAAAGCACUUUAAGUUGGGAGGAAGGGUUGUACAUUAAUACUCUGCAAUUUUGACGUUACCGACAGAAUAAGCACCGGCUAACUCUGUGCCAGCAGCCGCGGUAAUACAGAGGG